AGUAGGUGGGGAUUAUUAUCCACAAAAGGGACUAGACAUUGUGUUCUGGGUCCCACAACUCAUCAUAAAGAGGUGGUUAUAGUUCCCAUCAGGAGCCGUGGGUAGGGGACUGUGCGUCCAGCAGCACCCGAGGCUCUUCGGCGCCAGAGGCUCUAAGGAAGAAAAGUCAGAAGACCAGGACCUCCAGGGCCUCAAGGACAAACCCCUCAAGUUUAAAAAGGUGAAGAAAGAUAAGAAAGAAGAGAAAGAGGGCAAGCAUGAGCCCGUGCAGCCAUCAGCCCACCACUCUGCUGAGCCCGCAGAGGCAGGCAAAGCAGAGACAUCAGAAGGGUCAGGCUCC
rnacentral:lncRNA from 1 species